rnacentral:rRNA from 1 species
GACAGGUGGUGCAUGGUUGUCGUCAGCUCGUGUCGUGAGAUGUUGGGUUAAGUCCCGCAACGAGCGCAACCCUUACGGUUAGUUGAUACAUUGAGUUGAUCACUCUAGCCGGACUGCCGUUGACAAAACGGAGGAAGGUGGGGACGACGUCAAAUCAUCAUGCCCCUUAUGACCUGGGCUACACACGUACUACAAUGGCAGUCAUACAGAGGGAAGCAAUAUGGUGACAUGGAGCAAACCCCUAAAAGCUGUCCCAGUUCAGAUUGCAGGCUGCAACCCGCCUGCAUGAAGUCGGAAUUGCUAGUAAUCGCGGAUCAGCAUGCCGCGGUGAAUACGUUCCCGGGCCUUGUACACACCGCCCGUCACACCAUGAGAGCCGGUAAUACCCGAAGUCCGUAGCCGAACCGCAAGGAGGGCGCGGCCGAAGGUAGGACUGGUAAUUAGGGUGAAGUCGUAACAAGGUAGCCGUAUCGGAAGGUGCGGCUGGAUCACCUCCUUUCUAAGGAGA